UGUCCUGUGGCGGAGUUGGUUAACGCGCCCUGUCUAGCGAACUUGGGGAGACGUGGGUUCAAAUCCCACCAGAACUA
rnacentral:tRNA from 1 species